CCUANGGGCGUCUGCAGUCGAGAAUAUUCCACAAUGGACGAAAGUCUGAUGGAGCGACGCCGCGUGCGGGAUGAAGGCCCUUGGGUUGUAAACCGCUUUUCUAUGGGAACAAUUUGUGAGGGUACCAUAGGAAUAAGAGGUUACUAACUCUGUGCCAGCAGUAGCGGUAAUACAGAGACCUCAAGCGUUAUCCGGAUUUAUUGGGCGUAAAGAGCAUGUAGGCGGACAUGUUAGUCAGAUGUCAAAUCUCCGAGCUCAACUCGGAAACUGCAUUUGAAACGGCAUGUCUUGAGAAAGUGAGAGACCAGUGGAACAUAUGGUGUAGCAGUGAAAUGCGUUGAUAUCAUAUGGAACACCAAAGGCGAAGGCAUCUGGUUGGCACUUAUCUGACGCUGAGCUGCGAAAGCGUGGGUAGCGAAUGGGAUUAGAUACCCCGNUANUC
rnacentral:rRNA from 1 species